UACAAUUCCAAUCAGUAAGAUAUAGGUAGAUGUGAUGAUAAGUGAUAAUAGUGUGGUAGUGGUGGUGGUGGUAUUGGUGGUGAUCAUGCUAUUUGUUAUUGCACAUUAAUAAUAUUUUUAUCACUUCACAAUUUUUUUCCAAUUUUAGCCUCCUUCUAGGACUGUAACAGCUCAUUUCUAAUUAUAGGGAUGGGAUCAAUAGUUUUAUGACAGAUGAAAUGAUUUGUAUUACUACAACUUUUGCAGUUGAUAUGUUUCUCUUGAGAAACUGUCUUCUGGCUCUUGAAUUCUUGUGGCCUUCCACACUGUAAUAUGACUAUUAUCAGCAAACAAAUGGAAUAUCAUUACAUCAAUGUAUGUUAGAGCUGAAAGCCUCAAUACAUCAAUAUAAAAUAUGACCUACACAUAAAUAAGCUUAAAAGUGAAUACAAAUUUUUCUAAGACACAUGAGAUUGUUAGAUACCAUUGAGGGAUCUGUUGAUUAGAAAAAGAAAUGUACCAGGGAGACUUCAACAGAAUGGAGACUGAAAUUGAGAAAAAACUGAAACUAAAAUAUGAAAAAAAAAAAUCAGAAAGGGCUACCUUGCCUCUCUGUAUCUUAACCUAUUUUAAGUAGGGAUCAAAAUUGGUCUUCUGAUUGUUGAAUGUUAGUUUUUCUUAUAUGUAUAUUUCUCUUAUAAUGUUACUUUACUACUUAAGAAUUCUCAAUAUGAAUUAAAUAGGACCUACUCUUUCUAUUUAUUAUUGUUAUUUUAGAAUCACUCUAGCACUCAUGAACCUUAAUAAUAUCUGAUCUUUUCCCCAUCUACACCAACUCAAUUUUGUUUUUUACUGAUCCUCAAGAUGAAACAUCCAUUUUGAUCACAUUAGUCACCUUAAAGUACUCAAUACUUACAAUAUAAUAAGUCUUAUAUUGCUUAACUUCAUUCGUUCAUUAUUUUUUGUGCCCUAUUGUUUGGACUGUGACGACCUAUGAGGAUAUACUGGUCAACAACAACAACAGCAACAACAAAAAUAGACCUAGAUUCUUCCUUCAAACAGCUCAGAGACAAGUGGGUGGAGAGGCAACACAGGCCAGAUUCUUUGAGUACCUUUCCACAGAUCUGGCCACUGGGCAACUGAACCAAGAUCUCCAAGCCAGACUCAACCAAGAUGACCUACUUCACCCAGA
rnacentral:lncRNA from 1 species